AUUGAACGCUGGCGGCAGGCCUAACACAUGCAAGUCGAGCGAGCGGCGGACGGGUGAGUAAUGUCUGGGAAACUGCCUGAUGGAGGGGGAUAACUACUGGAAACGGUAGCUAAUACCGCAUACCAUCAGAUGUGCCCAGAUGGGAUUAGUUGGUGGGUGGGGUAACGGCUCACCUAGGCGACGAUCCCUAGCUGGUCUGCAAGGAUGACCAGCCACACGGGAAUUGAGACACGGUCCAGCCUCCUCGGGGAGGCGUCAGUGGGGAAUAUUGCACAAUGGGCGCAAGCCUGAUGCGGCCCGGCGGCGUGUGUGAAGAAGUCCUUCGGGUUGUAAAGCACGUUCAGCGGGGAGGCGUUACCCGCAGAAGAAGCACCGGCUAACUCCGUGCCAGCCGCCGCGGUAAUUC
rnacentral:rRNA from 1 species